rnacentral:rRNA from 2 species
AGAGUUUGAUCCUGGCUCAGGACGAACGCUGGCGGCGUGCUUAACACAUGCAAGUCGAACGGAAAGGCCUAGCUUGCUAGGUACUCGAGUGGCGAACGGGUGAGUAACACGUGGGUGAUCUGCCUCGUACUUCGGGAUAAGCCUGGGAAACUGGGUCUAAUACUGGAUAGGACCAUGCUUUAGUGUGUGUGGUGGAAAGUUUUUUCGGUACGAGAUGAGCCCGCGGCCUAUCAGCUUGUUGGUGGGGUAAUGGCCUACCAAGGCGUCGACGGGUAGCCGGCCUGAGAGGGUGGACGGCCACAUUGGGACUGAGAUACGGCCCAGACUCCUACGGGAGGCAGCAGUGGGGAAUAUUGCACAAUGGGCGCAAGCCUGAUGCAGCGACGCCGCGUGGGGGAUGACGGCCUUCGGGUUGUAAACCUCUUUCGCUAGGGACGAAGCUUUUUGUGACGGUACCUAGAUAAGAAGCACCGGCUAACUACGUGCCAGCAGCCGCGGUAAUACGUAGGGUGCGAGCGUUGUCCGGAAUUAUUGGGCGUAAAGAGCUCGUAGGUGGUUUGUCGCGUCGUCUGUGAAAUUCCGGGGCUUAACUUCGGGCGUGCAGGCGAUACGGGCAUAACUUGAGUGCUGUAGGGGAGACUGGAAUUCCUGGUGUAGCGGUGGAAUGCGCAGAUAUCAGGAGGAACACCGAUGGCGAAGGCAGGUCUCUGGGCAGUAACUGACGCUGAGGAGCGAAAGCAUGGGGAGCGAACAGGAUUAGAUACCCUGGUAGUCCAUGCCGUAAACGGUGGGCGCUAGGUGUGAGGGUCUUCCACGACUUUCGUGCCGUAGCUAACGCAUUAAGCGCCCCGCCUGGGGAGUACGGCCGCAAGGCUAAAACUCAAAGGAAUUGACGGGGGCCCGCACAAGCGGCGGAGCAUGUGGAUUAAUUCGAUGCAACGCGAAGAACCUUACCUGGGCUUGACAUAUGCAGGAUCGGCGUAGUGAUACGUUUUCCCUUGUGGUCUGUAUACAGGUGGUGCAUGGUUGUCGUCAGCUCGUGUCGUGAGAUGUUGGGUUAAGUCCCGCAACGAGCGCAACCCUUGUCUUAUGUUGCCAGCACGUGAUGGUGGGGACUCAUGAGAGACUGCCGGGGUUAACUCGGAGGAAGGUGGGGAUGACGUCAAAUCAUCAUGCCCCUUAUGUCCAGGGCUUCACACAUGCUACAAUGGUCGGUACAACGCGCUGCGAGCCUGUGAGGGUGAGCGAAUCGCUGAAAGCCGGCCUCAGUUCGGAUUGGGGUCUGCAACUCGACCCCAUGAAGUCGGAGUCGCUAGUAAUCGCAGAUCAGCAACGCUGCGGUGAAUACGUUCCCGGGCCUUGUACACACCGCCCGUCACGUCAUGAAAGUUGGUAACACCCGAAGCCAGUGGCCUAACCCUUGUGGGGGGAGCUGUCGAAGGUGGGAUCGGCGAUUGGGACGAAGUCGUAACAAGGUAGCCGUACCGGAAGGUGCGGCUGGAUCACCU